UACGGAGGGUGCGAGCGUUGUCCGGAAUCAUUGGGCGUAAAGGGCGCGUAGGUGGCGCGGUAAGCGUGCGGUGAAAGCCUGGGGCUCAACCCCGGGUCGGCCGUGCGAACUGCUGGGCUUGAGCACUGUAGAGGCAGGCGGAAUUCCGGGUGUAGCGGUGGAAUGCGUAGAGAUCCGGAAGAACACCGGUGGCGAAGGCGGUC
rnacentral:rRNA from 1 species